rnacentral:rRNA from 1 species
CACAUGCAAGUCGAGGGGCAGCAUGAACUUAGCUUGCUAAGUUUGAUGGCGACCGGCGCACGGGUGAGUAACACGUAUCCAACCUGCCGAUGACUCGGGGAUAGCCUUUCGAAAGAAAGAUUAAUACCCGAUGGCAUAGUUCUUCCGCAUGGUAGAACUAUUAAAGAAUUUCGGUCAUCGAUGGGGAUGCGUUCCAUUAGGUUGUUGGCGGGGUAACGGCCCACCAAGCCUUCGAUGGAUAGGGGUUCUGAGAGGAAGGUCCCCCACAUUGGAACUGAGACACGGUCCAAACUCCUACGGGAGGCAGCAGUGAGGAAUAUUGGUCAAUGGACGAGAGUCUGAACCAGCCAAGUAGCGUGAAGGAUGACUGCCCUAUGGGUUGUAAAUUUCUUUUAUACGGGAAUAAAGUGAGGCACGUGUGCCUUUUUGUAUGUACCGUAUGAAUAAGGAUCGGCUAACUCCGUGCCAGCAGCCGCGGUAAUACGGAGGAUCCGAGCGUUAUCCGGAUUUAUUGG